CACACCACGAGAGUUUACAACACCCGAAGUCAGUGGCCUAACCGCAAGGAGGGAGCUGCCUAAGGUGGGGUAGAUGAUUGGGGUGAAGUCGUAACAAGGUAUCCCUACCGGAAGGUGGGGAUGGAUCACCUCCUUUCUAUGGAGAAAGAGACGUUCUGUUUAGUUUUGGGAGAAUUUCGAUUUUCCUAGAAUUGAUCUUUGAAAACUAGAUAUCUUCUGAAGAAGAAAAGUUAAGUAAUAAAGGGCGCACGGAGGAUGCCUAGGCACUAGGAGUCGAAGAAGGACGCGACAAACGGCGAAACGCCUCGGGGAGCUGUAAGUAAGCAAAGAGCCGGGGAUAU
rnacentral:misc_RNA from 1 species